UACGGAGGGAGCUAGCGUUGUUCGGAAUUACUGGGCGUAAAGCGCACGUAGGCGGCUUUGUAAGUUAGAGGUGAAAGCCCGGGGCUCAACUCCGGAACUGCCUUUAAGACUGCAUCGCUUGAAUCCAGGAGAGGUGAGUGGAAUUCCGAGUGUAGAGGUGAAAUUCGUAGAUAUUCGGAAGAACACCAGUGGCGAAGGCGGCUCACUGGAGCUGGUAUUGACGCUGAGGUGGCGAAAGCGUGGGGAGCCAAACAGG
rnacentral:rRNA from 1 species